UGCGGUAAUGGGGUUGAAGUGACUGCAAAAGAGACUUCUGCUUUGAGGAAUGUAAACAGCAGUUAUUGUUGGUACCACUUUAGUGAAUAUAGCACCUGCCUGCGAAGUGUCUGUUGGUUCCUGCACACACCAAGAGAUGGAGACGAAAAGUUCUGCAUGGAUAUAGUGAAGAAGUUCUGUCAUGUUGGUAAACGUGGUCUUAUUCUACGAGCAG